UUAGUACUACCUCAGUUUCAAAAUUCUUGUCUUAGAUUUGUCUAGAUACGAAUGUAUCUAGUCACGUUUUAGUAUUUAAGUACAUUCAUUUUUAGAUAAACCUAAGACAAUAAUUUUAAGACGAAUGAAGUAGUAU
rfam:Hordeum vulgare subsp. vulgare, WGS project CAJW01000000 data, contig: morex_contig_1562519